CUCCAGUGGGGGGGCUGCUCUGACAUGCCUCUGCUGUUUUGUUUGUGUGCAUUCAUGCAGCCGCUCAUUGACUGCACAACCUGUUACAAAACCUUCAAUGGAGAGAUUGAAACAGAACCCAAGCCGUACAUCCACUGUGUCCACAGACCAGCUCUGACAGAGGAAAUGAGGACCACCAGAGCUGAACAUUGCAAUGCUAUGGGAUAUAGCAGUGGAACUCCAAAUCUUCUCUUAGUACAAGGAAACAAUUAAGUUUUCCAGAAAACAAACUUACCGAGAGCAUAGAAAUUUUUGUAUGCCUCACGACUAGAGAUACACAGAUUUUUUUCACAUCCGGUCCAAAUAGUUGAAUUUGAGUUUCUUCAGAUUCUGACAUUUUCCAAUACCAGAGCUCUGUUCUAAUGUUAUCAUCAUCACUGUUUUAUAAUCUAAGAGGCUGUCAUAAACUCCUUUUUGCAAGCAAGUACAUGUAUGAAUGUACAUGUGUAUUACAAAAAGCAACUUGCAUUAAAAGUAAUGUCAGAAAGCAAGCUAUAGAAACAGUAAAUUGUGUUAACAUGACAAAUUCCAUCAUUAAAGCAAAUAUGCAGUCGUAAAGGUUCAAAUUGAAUGUAUUUAAUAAAUGAAACACAGAUGCCCAUAAGGGGUCAACCUUUCUGCUGUUUAAGAGUUAGAAAUAAGUCUGAAAACAUCUGCCUGUUUGAGUCCGGCAUAUUUUCAAUGAUGUCCGAUCUAGAAUUUUCUACUUUGGGAUCAAUACAGAAGAAAAUAUCUAAUUGGUGUAUCUCUUUUCAGGAUUAAAUUGUUUUCUUUCACUUGUUAUCUCUGUUGUCAAAAUUAACUUUUAUGUUGAAGUCACUUUGUUUUAGAAUUUUGCUAUAUCUCUGUUAUUUUACCUAACAAAGUUAUGAUAAAGCUCACAUAUCCAUUCCGACUGUAAUCUCUGCUACAGUAGAUUAACCCAACAUAAAUAUAAACUAAUUGUCAUUUAUUUGUUAAAUAAAAAAAUAAAAUUA